rfam:Triticum aestivum genome assembly, contig: Triticum_aestivum_CS42_TGACv1_scaffold_031322_1BL
UAUAUACUCCCUCCGUCCGGAAGUACUUGUCCCCAAAACGGUUGUAUCUAGACUUAUUUUAGUCAUAGAUACAUCCAUUUUAUCCAUUUCUAGGAUAAGUAUUUCUGGACGGAGGAAGUACUAG